rnacentral:rRNA from 1 species
GCCAGACUCCUACGGGAGGCAGCAGUGGGGAAUAUUGGGCAAUGGAGGAAACUCUGACCCAGCAAUGCCGCGUGAAUGAAGAAGGUCUUCGGAUUGUAAAGUUCUUUAGUCAGGGAAGAAGUCAAUGACGGUACCUGAAGAAUAAGCUCCGGCUAACUACGUGCCAGCAGCCGCGGUAAUACGUAGGGAGCAAGCGUUGUUCGGAAUGACUGGGCGUAAAGGGUGCGUAGGCGGUCCUGCAAGUCUGGAGUGAAACGCAUGAGCUCAACUCAUGCAUGGCUUUGGAAACUGGAGGACUGGAGAGCAGGAGAGGGCGGUGGAACUCCAUGUGUAGCGGUAAAAUGCGUAGAUAUAUGGAAGAACACCAGUGGCGAAGGCGGCCGCCUGGCCUGUUGCUGACGCUGAGGCACGAAAGCGUGGGGAGCAAAUAGGAUUAGAUACCCGAGUA